GGGAGAGGAAGAAGCAGGCUUCCAGCGGGAGCCUGAUGUGGGGCUCGAUCCCAGAACGCCGGGAUCACGCCCUGAGCCGAAGGCAGACGCUUCACGACCGAGACCCCCAGGCGCCCCUUGAUAAGUUAUUUUUGAAUUCUUCUAACGGUUACCCUUAUACUUUGUUCAUUAAACCUCCAUUCCGUAUUCUGUCUGUUUUCAACUAUGUCUUAAGCCCCGGUAAGUAAGAUGAUAACAUGACCGCUUCGGCUCUUCUCUUCACCCCACGCCUCUCUUCAACCUCCCAACUUUUGUUAGCUUUGCUUUAAAAAAAAAAUCUUGAUGGAGCUAUCAUUCAUACGUCAUAAAGUCCAUGCAUUUAAAGUGUACAAUUUGAUGGUUUUAGUGCACAACGGAGUUGUGCAGCCAUCACCAUAAUCUGAUUUUAGAAUAUGUUCAUUACCGCAAAAAGAAAUCCCAUUCCCAUUAGCAGCCACUUUCCUUUUCCCCACAACUCCAGACCUACACAACCACUACUCUGCUUUCUGUCUUUAUAGAUUUACCAAUUCUAGGCAGGUCAGGUAAAGGGAGUCAUACAAUAUAUGGUCUUUAUGACUUACUUUCUUAAUUUGGCAUAAUGUUUUUGAGGGUCACCCAUGUUUUAGCAUGUAUCAGUAUUUCACUCCUUUUUAUUGUUGAACAAUAUCCCGUUGCAUGGAUAUACCACACUUUGUUGGUCUUAGUUAAUGGACAUUUUGGUUGUUUCCACUUUUUUUACUAUUAUGAAUAAUGUUGCUGUAAACUGUUCAUUUUUCAUUUUAUUCUGUAAUCAUAAUUGUCUUAUCUGUCUUGACUGAGGAUUGAUUCUAAAAAUUGAAAAAUAGUAAGCUUACAUAAUUUUGAACAUGUUGCUCACUACAGGGCAAAAUAGUGUGCUAGGAUUACAUUUACUUCUCUACAAAAUUAACAUCACAAUCUCCUUUUUACCCCUAAAGCAUCCCUUCCAGAGCCUUCCACUGUCUGUUAUAAUGUAAACUCACUGCAAGUGGCAAGCCAGAAUCGAUCAAUUCCUUUGUGGAUCUCUUGUCUUUCACUUUGUUGUUUAUUCCUUUUGUUUUAUAGAUACUAAUCUUCAAGUAACUUCCUGAGAACCGGCUCACAGAGGCCUUGCCUUAGAACCGCAGUUCUCGGUUUUCCAAUGACCUUUGAUGACUCAGUCAAAUCCUGUGGAAUCUUGGACUUGAUUUUGAAACUUCAUGAAGCUUCCUUAACAUUGCUGCCUGGUAGUUUGCGUAAAAGUUGUUUAGCAACUACCGAGAAAAGGGACAGAGUCUCCUGGCGACACUGGGUGGUCUUUAUUACUCCUGCUUUCCCUUAAAUCAGAACUAGGGACGGAGGAAGAUGGACGUGCAGCUUGGUUCAGACUCGUCUAAAGCACCCCCUCAGGCUGCCUGUCCCAGCGAGGGAGCUUCCAUGUCGAUGAAGCACGUUGGACAGAGGAGGCCCUCACGUUAGCUGCCACUCCCAGCUCCCAUGCAGUACAGACGGUGACGUGGGAGCCGCAGGUCUACACUGAGGCCCCGAGAGGCAGAGCAAGUGGCUCCUCCUCACCCCGAGACUGGGUGGAGAGCAAAGCUAAAGACCAGAGAGAGAAUGUGGCAGACUCAGGGGUCUGCAGGCAACAGGAGUCUGGGAAAGCCAGGCUGCUCGGGGGGCCACCGGGAGCAUUGCCCACACUGUGAGAGUCCCCACUCACGCCAGCCUCAGACUUCAGCCAUGAAGUCCAGCAGCACAGAGAAGGGACUGAGUAGAUGAGGGAUUGUGCACAGCCUCCAGGGUCUCACAAGACUUCAGCCAAGGUGUUGGUGGGGUUGUCAUCUCGUCUUACAGUUUGACAGAGAAGGGUCCACUUUGAGACUCACUCAGGGUGUUGGCCAACCAGCUCCUGGAAGCUGUCAGCCCUCUGACAAGCUACCUGCAGGUCCUUGCCGUGCGGGUCCCUUCACAGGCCACUCACAGAGUUGGUGCUUGCUUCCUCAAGCCAGUGGGAGAGCGAGAGCAAGACUGCCAGCAAGCUGGACUCCUACAAACGGAACGUAAUCACGGGAGUGCCAUCCCAUUCGAUUUGCCACAAUCUUUUGAUUAGAAACAAAUCACAGGUCCCCCCCCCAACCCUCAGGGGUGGGAAUCAUAUACAGGGGUGAACACCAGACAGUUGCAAGUUCAACUUUUAGAAUUGUUUUCACAGGUGAUUUCCUUCAUCUCUUGCAGAUUUCUCAAGGAUCAGCUUUUAAAUUGUGGGUUAAGAAUGUUGGUAUGCCUUAAACCCUUUGUGAAAUGAGAUGGUACGUCCAUAUCUGUAAAAAGAACCAAAAGAACUCACUCUUCCCGUCUGGCGGCGCCAGAGGCCGCUCAUUCAAGAAGACAUACGUGCACUUGGACUGAUCUCUCGGUCAGCUUCAUGCUUCCACUGCUGGCUUCCCUUGACCACAGGCACAUACUUCUGAGGCAACAAUGGCUUUAAAAAAAAAAAAAAUCUCUGUGUAAUGAGCAUCAAGUAGAUGUCAAACCCUUGGCCUUGGUCCUUAAGCACCAACUAAGAUGUGGUUUAUCCACAAUUAAGUCAGCAGCUAUUCAUGACUAAAACUGAAGUCCGUCUGUAAAUAUUUAUGUAGUUUUCAGCUGCUCCAAUACUCCCAAACAACGGAUAGAUAGGAGUGAUGGGGUUUCUCGUGUGAUUUUUUUCCCUGAAAAUAAAACUACGUAUAGCGAGUCCCUAAUUAAACUUGGAUCCAAUUUAAUGAGGAAUCCACUCACUGCAUAUACUAAGUGCUUUUGUACUUUUGCGAGCUGGAAUAUGAAGAAACCACCCGCUGUUAAAUAAGCCCAUGUGUUGCCAUUAAGUAACUCGAGUAAUGACUAGCAUGAUUGUUUGGUUUUCCCAAAUGCUGUUCUUAAAAUCUGUAAUAAUUUCUAUCCAUUCAUUGCAGCCUUGGAUGGGUCUAUCCACUCCCUCCACCGUGUAUUUGGCCUUAAAGAUUAGUUUUAAUCAUAAAUAAAUAAUGAAUGAUAGGUUAUGAGACACUAAACAACCUUUAAUACUUGCCUUUGAAAUGAAGUUCAUUUUAGGAAAAAAAAUAUUUAACAUAAAAUGGUUCCAUUUUUUAAAAAUCCUCUGAUUUUGAAAACUCCCCUCAUUUAAAUGGCUCUAGGAUGCAAAAAAAAGCUUUCAAAGGCGCUCUGAGGCCAUAUAGAUUAGAAGCAGCACAAGGAGUGUCUAAGCAAUACGUACAAAAAUAGAGAUCACCUCUCUCUAGGUAGAGUCAAAAUGUGGUGGUAACGAUAUUCAUCUAGCCUGAGUCAAAAAGGUUCUUUCUAUAACAGUGAGAUUUCUGUCGUACCCUAAAGGAGAAGGUGACUGUGCCAAAGAUAAAUGAGGGGGUCGUUCAUAGAUGAAGAUUCUGGGCAAUGUAUGAAACUAGAGAAGAGAUUCAGUAUCAGGUUUAAUUACACUGGAGAUUAGAACAGGGUUUUGGACUGUGCAUGCAGUGAUGAACAAGGGACAGAAAUCCGAGUUAUAAAAGACCUUUGUAUGACCACAGACGAAGGAGGUGGCCACCUGGCCCCCAUGCAAAACCAUUACUCUGGAAAGUGAUCAAGCUGUUCUGUGCUUUGUGACCUGCCCUGAGAACCCUUCCAUUGUUUCCUUUCUUUCCCUUAAAUUCCAUAGCACAAAGUUGUUAAUCCCAACUAGUGCUAAAACCAAGAGACAGACCCAUUUUUUUCUUAUGAUGAUGUUCCUUUCCUCCUUUGUCUAGUUCUUGCCACGUCUAUAGGAAAAUACAUUUUGUCUUCCAACCAUUUAAAAACAUCUGAAAUGUGCCAAUUUGGAUGGUGAGAAUUUUCUCCCUAGGUUCAAAGAACUCAUAUUCUUAUUUAUCUUAAUAUACCUUUAGUCAUCUUUUUAUACC